GGACUACAGGGGUUUCUAAUCCUGUUCGCUCCCCACGCUUUCGCGCCUCAGUGUCAGUUACGGGCCAGGAAGUCGCCUUCGCCACUGGUGUUCCUUCCGAUAUCUACGCAUUUCACCGCUACACCGGAAAUUCCACUUCCCUCUCCCGUCCUCUAGCUAAUCAGUUUCAUAUGCCAUUCCUAGGUUAAGCCCAGGGAUUUCACACACGACUUAAUUAACCACCUACGCGCCCUUUACGCCCAGUAAUUCCGAUUAACGCUCGCACCCUCUGUAUUACCGCGGCUGCUGGCAC
rnacentral:rRNA from 1 species